CCUACGGGGGGCAGCAGUGAGGAAUAUUGGACAAUGGGCGCAAGCCUGAUCCAGCCAUGCCGCGUGCAGGAAGACGCAUCUAUGGUGUGUAAACUGCUUUUGUACGGGAAGAAACACUCCUUCGUGAAGGAGCUUGACGGUACCGUAAGAAUAAGGAUCGGCUAACUCCGUGCCAGCAGCCGCGGUAAUACGGAGGAUCCAAGCGUUAUCCGGAAUCAUUGGGUUUAAAGGGUCCGUAGGCGGUUUGAUAAGUCAGUGGUGAAAGCCCAUCGCUCAACGAUGGAACGGCCAUUGAUACUGUCAGACUUGAAUUAUUGUGAAGUAACUAGAAUAUGUAGUGUAGCGGUGAAAUGCUUAGAUAUUACAUGGAAUACCAAUUGCGAAGGCAGGUUACUAACAAUAUAUUGACGCUGAUGGACGAAAGCGUGGGGAGCGAACAGGAUUAGAUACCCCAGUAGUC
rnacentral:rRNA from 1 species